UACGGGGGGGGCAAGCGUUGUUCGGAAUUACUGGGCGUAAAGGGCUCGUAGGCGGCCAACUAAGUCGGAUGUGAAAUCCCCAGGCUCAACCUGGGAACUGCAUCCGAUACUGGAUGGCUUGAAUUCAGGAGAGGGAUGCAGAAUUCCAGGUGUAGCGGUGAAAUGCGUAGAUAUCUGGAGGAAUACCGGUGGCGAAGGCGGCAUCCUGGACCGACAUUGACGCUGAGGAGCGAAAGCCAGGGGAGCAAACGGG
rnacentral:rRNA from 1 species